UUUCCCUCUGCCAAUGGAGAUGGCGCUGGUGCUACGAACACCGGAUGUGAUAGUUCGAUUCUAUCCAGAGGGGU
rnacentral:tRNA from 1 species